GAUGAACGCUGGCGGCGUGCCUAAUACAUGCAAGUCGAGCGAACGGACGAGAAGCUUGCUUUUCUGAUGUUAGCGGCGGACGGGUGAGUAACACGUGGAUAACCUACCUAUAAGACUGGGAUAACUUCGGGAAACCGGAGCUAAUACCGGAUAAUAUUUUGAACCGCAUGGUUCAAAAGUGAAAGACGGUCUUGCUGUCACUUAUAGAUGGAUCCGCGCUGCAUUAGCUAGUUGGUAAGGUAACGGCUUACCAAGGCAACGAUGCAUAGCCGACCUGAGAGGGUGAUCGGCCACACUGGAACUGAGACACGGUCCAGACUCCUACGGGAGGCAGCAGUAGGGAAUCUUCCGCAAUAGGCGAAAGCCUGACGGAGCAACGCCGCGUGAGUGAUGAAGGUCUUCGGAUCGUAAAACUCUGUUAUUAGGGAAGAACAUAUGUGUAAGUAACUGUGCACAUAUUGACGGUACCUAAUCAGAAAGCCACGGCUAACUACGUG
rnacentral:rRNA from 1 species